GAAUUUAGGGAAGUGCUUGUUCCAAACGAUCAUUGUAGUGGCACACGCAAGACUCUUCUGACUAUAAUGCCCGGCAAUCCAAUAAUUGGUGAUGUUCUUACCUUAGUUUGUUCGAUGCUCACCAAAGGACAUUUUGGGCCAAAAGGAAACAUACAUGCCAACCAAUGGUUUCUGCCACCAACAUUUUCUCAAAUUGUGUUAAGCCCGAAACAGAACUGUGUCCGCACAAUGAAAUACAUCAAGGAUAACUUCAUGGGGGACCUUGCCAGUUUACAUCAGGUUGGUUAAUUUUAUUGAACUUUCAAUUAAUUCAUAUAAUAAUAUUUCAUGACUGUUUAUAGUUAAGGUUAUUUUCUGAAUAUUGUUGUAGAUUUUUGUCCCAAUUCACCUCAAUAGCCAUUGGUUUCUCAUAGUGGUUGAUUUACUGAACGGGGUCGUGAAAUAUCUGGACUCUUUCAAAAAGGGCACAUUGGAAGCAGAGCGUAAGAGUGUCAUUAACACUUUGUUAAAUUACCUAGAGGAAUUUUUGUCCGAGAAGAAUUUUGGUGAAACACCUUCCUUUAGAAACAUUCAAUUUUCAAAGUAUAAAUUCAGAGAACCAGAUGUCCCGCAACAAUCUGCCAAAUCGAAUAACUGUGGUAUUUGGGUCACUCAAUGGAUGCAGCUCACUCGCUAUUGGAACCUUGGUAAUAAGACAUGGGUUAUUUCUGAUUACACAAGAAUGCGUCUGGCUGUGGAUUUAGUGAAUGACGAAAAUAACUCAAAGCGGGAUAUCAUAGAGGAACUUGCUAUCACUGACUGGAAUAAAAAGAUGCAGCAAUCUGUCAUGCAAACUUAGGACAUUAUUACCUUUUUUAUUAGAAGUUAUGGAUUGAAUUAGACUAUUUUAUUUUUCAUUAAAAUACAAGUUAACUUUAUAUCUUGCACUUAUUUCUUUGA